rnacentral:lncRNA from 1 species
CUGGUCCACCCCCAGUGGACACAUAUAUUUUAAUUCUAAUCAAAUUAGAUUUUCACACUUAAAUGCAGAAAUAUCGACCAUGGAUUUUUUUUUUAAAAACAGGCGUCUGAAUUACACCUCAGCCCUUCUGAAUCAGAAUUUUCCAGGAUGAGCCUUAAUGAUAUAAAUGUGUAAAUCUCCAGCUGACUCUAAAGCACAGCUGGGAUGGAGAGUCCCUGAUCUCACCCAAGCCACUCUGCUGUGAUGCCACACUGUGACUCACGCCGGCGCUUUAAGACUAGAGCUCGACUCAACCUCCCUGACGGCUCCAGCUGUCACCAGAAACACACUGUUCAAGACUGUUUAUGACUCUUCUGAACCCGAUUGUUGAGAACAGAGACUCCACACCAGGCCUCUGACUCUGCCUCGGCCAUCCCCAAACCUUUGUUCGAGAAAUUCGACGUGAGCUCUCGAGCCUGCCCUGGGAGUGCUGUCACUUGCGCUCCACAACUUUUAAUGCAGAGAAAAUGGCUGUCUUGGGGCCAUCCUGCAGGGCAAGUUCACUCCCUGAGGUGGUUUCCUCACGUGUGAUGAGGACAGCGCAGCAGCCCGAGAGGGCUAUUGAGAGACAAAGCCAGAGGUGGCGCGAGCUGGCCCGACCAGGACCGCGACACCAUGAUGGUCUCACACCAGGAGAGAAGACAGGGGUUCUGGGUCAACCUGCUUUCCUUUCAGCACAAACCUCCCCUGCCUUUCACUGGGUUUUCAACUGGAAGGAAGCCUUUGUACCCAGAGUCACCGACAGAGAACCAGCUUCUGCGGUGGGCCGCUCACUUGAGCGGAAAGACUACGAAGGUUCAGUUUCCCCCACCUCGGAGCUUCCCCAGCUCUUUAAGCCCCAUUACGUUUUAAUUUAAUUGUCGCCACUUUGUGCUGGAAUUGUGUUUUAUGAGCACAUUACCAGACGUUGAAGGCUUGUAAAAC